AUUCCUUUCCCUAUCGCAUAAAUACAGAAAAUUAUCCGACCAACUCACCAUUUUCAAUUACACCACCGUUCCAACGUCUCCUUUCCCUGUAACCGUAAGAUUAAAUAAAAGUAAAAUAUGAAUCCGUCCCUUUACUUCGCCUCCUUUCUCCUCCUCCUACCACACCUCUCUGCUUCUCAGAGUGACACUCCCGCACUAUAUUUCAACCAAACCCUGGCGGGGGGGGUAUUCUCCUCCCCAAAAUCCACUCUUAGGCAAUCUUGCCCUCCUGGCGACUUCCUCUGUGCCGAUUUGUCCGGUUGCUGCGUCCGCGGUUCGAUCUGCUGUGGAUUGUAUUGCUGCAUAAAUGGUGCCCAAUGCUUUGGUGGGUCUACCUGCCGCCUCCCUGAAUCCUGCCCGCCGGGGUAUUACGACUGUCACAAUGACUACUGCUGCCAGACGGGGUCACUAUGCUGCGGAUCGAAUUGUUGCAUCAACGGCGCCACCUGCCAGGGUGGGACGUGCAUCCGCACUUCCCCUGGCUCGGGCUCUCUUCAUGCUGCCGUUAAGGGUUUGAUUAUUUCGAGUCUCAUCGCCCUAUCGGUCUGGAAUUUAUAAAGAUUGCCGUUAAUCCAAUUAGCGCAUCACCUCAAUUAUCCGUAUUGUCUUUGACAUUUAAUAAAAGAUUUUCAAUCAUUAAAAACGUUUUCCAUUUGCA